rnacentral:rRNA from 1 species
UGCCAGCCGCCGCGGUAAGACAGAGGGUGCAAACGUUGUUCGGAAUUACUGGGCGUAAAGCGCGUGUAGGCUGUCACGCAAGUCGGAUGUGAAAGCCCGGGGCUCAACCCCGGAAGUGCAUUCGAAACUGCGCGACUAGAGUCUCGGAGGGGAUAGCGGAAUUCUGGGUGUAGAGGUGAAAUUCGUAGAUAUCCGGAGGAACACCGGUGGCGAAGGCGGCUUCCUGGACCGAUACUGACGCUGAGACGCGAAAGCGUGGGGAGCAAACAGGAUUAGAUA